rnacentral:rRNA from 1 species
GAUGAACGCUGGCGGCGUGCUUAACACAUGCAAGUCGAACGAAGCAUUUGCGACAGAUUUCUUCGGAUUGAAGUUGCUUAUGACUGAGUGGCGGACGGGUGAGUAACGCGUGGGUAACCUGCCUCAUACAGGGGGAUAGCAGCUGGAAACGGCUGGUAAUACCGCAUAAGCGCACAGUACCACAUGGUACAGUGUGAAAAACUCCGGUGGUAUGAGAUGGACCCGCGUCUGAUUAGCUAGUUGGUGAGGUAACGGCCCACCAAGGCGACGAUCAGUAGCCGACCUGAGAGGGUGACCGGCCACAUUGGGACUGAAACACGGCCCAGACUCCUACGGGAGGCAGCAGUGGGGAAUAUUGCACAAUGGAGGAAACUCUGAUGCAGCGACGCCGCGUGAGUGAAGAAGUAGUUCGCUAUGUAAAGCUCUAUCAGCAGGGAAGAUAGUGACGGUACCUGACUAAGAAGCUCCGGCUAAAUACGUGCCAGCCGCCGCGGUAA